rnacentral:lncRNA from 1 species
UCAGGUACUCCAGCUUUUACUGGAAACUUUUUUAAGAUAAUGGAUAAAGUCCCGGCUUCAACCUUCUCAAGGGAAGAAUCAGUCCGAAAUUAUUACAUGUAGUAGCAUACUGCUACACUGAGAGAGAAGAAUCAGUCCGAAAUUAUUACAUGUAGUUCCAGCUUCAACCUUCUCGAGAGAAGAAUCAGUCCGAAAUUAUUAACUAGACACACGGCUCUUCAUCAUGGGAUCAGCUCAAAUGGAGAUGCUGGUCGGGAUGCCC